GCAGAUGCAACCUGCCUCGUUCUUUUGAAUGAGUAAUCAGAGAGCCAGCUUUUCCUUGAUGAUACAUCCAUGUUGGACUGGCUUCAUGAAGAGUGACCUGUGCUUCUGUUUUCUCCGAGAUUGUUAACCAAGAUAACCUUUAUUUUGGGGAAACAGUUGGUCUCCAUCUCUGAGAGUCGGGUCAGACCAAAGGGCAGGAGCAGCGGCGUCUGUGAGUGUCGGCCACCAGCAGCUGGGAGAAGGCUCCGGCAAAUGUGCAAACGUGAUUUGAACAGCUGUUCCAAGGCUAUUUUUGGAUGUGGAUCUCACAAUGAUGCAUCCAGGUAAUAGCUACUCAGAACCAGGGCUGUUCCUCUGAAUCCAGGAAAAUCAGAGAAAUCUUAGAUGGCAAAGACAUCUUGAGUCUGUUACUGCCGAAGAAUGACAAAUGCUCUCAAGGAGUUUUAUUACC